rnacentral:misc_RNA from 1 species
UACGGAGGAUCCAAGCGUUAUCCGGAAUCAUUGGGUUUAAAGGGUCCGUAGGCGGGGCAAUAAGUCAGUGGUGAAAGUCUGCAGCUCAACUGUAGAACUGCCAUUGAUACUGUUGUCCUUGAGUUACUGUGAAGUGGUUGGAAUAUGUAGUGUAGCGGUGAAAUGCAUAGAUAUUACAUAGAAUACCGAUUGCGAAGGCAGAUCACUAAUAAUUCACUGACGCUGAUGGACGAAAGCGUAGGUAGCGAACAGG